CAAAGGUUUCAGUGAACAUUCAACGCUGUCGGUGAGUUUUCUCAAUAAGGUUAAACCAUCGACCGUUGAGUGUACCCUGCGGCC
ensembl:miRNA